rnacentral:lncRNA from 1 species
AACCGGAACCGAACCGGGAUCGGUUCAAACCGACCGGUUUCGGUUCGGUCUGGUUCGGUUUUUUUAACAUAAAAACCGGAAAAACCUAUAUCAAAUCGACCGGGUUUUUUUAACAAUCUUCUCUAUAGCUUCUCCAGCUUCCCUCUUGUUCUUCCCUACAAACCCUAAAAUUUUGAAAGCCCAAUUACUCAACAAACAACAAAUCCGUCAUCAUAAGCUUCAUGAAAACUAUCAUGGGACUGCAGACUACAAAGUUCUGGUAAGAAAGCAAAGAGUUGCAACGAGAAUGGCUUUUCAUCGCUCAGUGCAUUCCAACAAAGCUUUAAUCUUUCUUCUAAGCCUUAGCAGGAAUUAUAGUAGGAGCUGCGUCAACCUUCAAAAAAAAAAAAAAGGACACAACCGCGAUGAGAGGAAACAAACACUGAAGCCUUGAAGAUGAAGAUUUGAAGCAUACACUAAACCAGUCCUUGGGUUGUUAGAUUUGAAGAUGAAGUUUGAAGCCUUGUUGAAGUUUUGUUAGAUGAUUAGAAGUCUAGAUCUGGGCAUGAAGUUUUGUAAAGUAAUGGACGAGAGUGUGGGAGAUUGAGAUUUGAGAGUUGUGGCUUGUGGGGGCUUUGGAGCUUGUGGGGGCUUUGGAGGCUUUGG